GGAUAGCCAAGUGGUUAAGGCAUCUGCCCCCGGUGCAGAAGGUCGUGAGUUCGAUUCCCACCCC
rnacentral:tRNA from 1 species